AGGGGCUAAAAACUUACCAUUUCCUGGUCUUUUAUGGCUCAUACUCUUUUAAGAAAGGAGGUCAGGAAGUCCCAAUUGAAUUACUCAAUAAUAUUGGUGUCCUUGAGUCUUAAUAGCAAGAAUUUGAGAUGCAACAUUAGCUGGAGACACUUCUUUUUUUUUUUGGAACUGAGCUGGAGACACUUCUAGUUGAAAGAGCUCUCUUUUAGCUAAUGAGAACGAGACAUACUUUGCAUUAUGGGAUUAUAAGCAUAAUUUAAGAGAAUGAUCUUGAUCCAAUGCACAACCAGCUAGAGAUACUUCCAUUAUUCAUUACUAGUUUUCUGCUUUUUUCAGUACAGAUGUUCGGUAUUCUCCCUGAGCUAUUUGCGUUAUGUGCUUGAAGUUAGCUUGCUGUCACGCUUGGAAUUGUGGACUGAUGCUUCUGUAGUGUUUCUUGUUCCCUGCUCUUUUGUAGUCUAUUGAUAUACAUCAUAGGUUUGGUAGGUGUUUGUGGAAUGUUGGUUUGUUUAUUCGAGUUACACUACUAGACAUGUGUUAUUGGGGUGCUUUUUCUAAUUUUGGGGUAGAUUGUUAAUUAGUGGGGGGCCAAGUAGUGUUCUCGAUAUGUUGGUUGUGUUCUCAGAUUUGUCUUGUACUCGGAUCAAUUUUG